rnacentral:tRNA from 1 species
AUCCCUGUAGCGCAAUGGAUAGCGCUUUGGAGCUCUAAUUCAAAGGUCGUGGGUUUGAAUCCCACCUAGGAUG